AUUGAACGCUGGCGGCAGGCCUAACACAUGCAAGUCGAGCGGAUGAAGGGAGCUUGCUCCUGGAUUCAGCGGCGGACGGGUGAGUAAUGCCUAGGAAUCUGCCUGGUAGUGGGGGAUAACGUCCGGAAACGGGCGCUAAUACCGCAUACGUCCUGAGGGAGAAAGUGGGGGAUCUUCGGACCUCACGCUAUCAGAUGAGCCUAGGUCGGAUUAGCUAGUUGGUGGGGUAAAGGCCUACCAAGGCGACGAUCCGUAACUGGUCUGAGAGGAUGAUCAGUCACACUGGAACUGAGACACGGUCCAGACUCCUACGGGAGGCAGCAGUGGGGAAUAUUGGACAAUGGGCGAAAGCCUGAUCCGGCCAUGCCGCGUGUGUGAAGAAGGUCUUCGGAUUGUAAAGCACUUUAAGUUGGGAGGAAGGGCAGUAAGUUAAUACCUUGCUGUUUUGACGUUACCAACAGAAUAAGCAUCGGCUAACUUCGUG
rnacentral:rRNA from 1 species